GGAAUAAGCAUAAGGAGUGUCGAUGAUAUGAAACUUCGUUUUUUGUACAAGUUUUAGUUGGACGUCCUGUCGUUUUGAGAACCAUGAAGUUGGCGAUUGCGUGUAUGCUUCUAAUGUGCUUGGCAGCUGCGAACUGCUCAGUUCUGGACAGUGCCUGUCACAAGAACGGCGGCUCCUGCUACAGCAUGUUCACCGACGUGUUUUGCAUGGGGAAGCGCACUGCGGACGACUGUGGAGGCAGUUAUCUCUACUGCUGCAUGUACAACGCCGGCAAUUAACAUCCUUCACCAGGAUCACUUGCAAAACGACGUCACAGAAGUAGAAGCCGUAUUCGCUCAUAUGUAGUUGAAAUAACAGUAUUCGAUAAUCAAAAAUAUAAUCGUAUCAA